rnacentral:tRNA from 1 species
GCCCGAAUGGCGGAACGGUAGACGCAAACGACUCAAAAUCGUUCGGAGAAAUCCAUGGGGGUUCAAAUCCCCCUUUGGGCACCA